rnacentral:rRNA from 1 species
ACUACGGGCGGCAGCAGUGGGGAAUAUUGCACAAUGGGGGGAACCCUGAUGCAGCGACGCCGCGUGAGUGAAGAAGUAUUUCGGUAUGUAAAGCUCUAUCAGCAGGGAAGAAAAUGACGGUACCUGACUAAGAAGCCCCGGCUAACUACGUGCCAGCAGCCGCGGUAAUACGUAGGGGGCAAGCGUUAUCCGGAUUUACUGGGUGUAAAGGGAGCGUAGACGGCAGAGCAAGUCUGAAGUGAAAGCCCGGGGCCCAACUGCGGGACUGCUUUGGAAACUGCCCGGCUAGAGUGCUGGAGAGGUAAGCGGAAUUCCUAGUGUAGCGGUGAAAUGCGUAGAUAUUAGGAGGAACACCAGUGGCGAAGGCGGCUUACUGGACAGUAACUGACGUUGAGGCUCGAAAGCGUGGGGAGCAAACAGGAUUAGAUACCCGAGUAGUC